AAUCCCGGAUACGAUCCCUGAUUAUAAAUAGCAGGAUGAGCACAACAAUUGUCUUCCUCUCCUUUUCGGUGACCGAGCAAAAGAGAUUUUGAGAGUGGUGGGUGCUGUUGGACAAUAGAGAUCUACUGAUUUCAUCCUCUCUCAUCGGCCGAUCUUCGAUUAACGGAGAUGGGUCUGUCUUUCACUAAACUCUUUAGUCGCCUCUUUGCAAAGAAAGAAAUGCGAAUUCUUAUGGUUGGUCUCGAUGCUGCUGGUAAAACCACAAUUCUGUACAAGCUCAAGUUGGGAGAAAUUGUUACCACUAUCCCAACCAUUGGCUUCAAUGUGGAGACUGUUGAAUACAAAAACAUCAGCUUUACUGUGUGGGAUGUUGGUGGUCAGGACAAGAUUAGACCUCUAUGGAGGCACUAUUUCCAGAACACACAGGGCCUCAUCUUUGUGGUUGAUAGCAAUGACAGAGACCGUGUAGUUGAGGCAAGGGAUGAGCUUCACAGGAUGUUAAAUGAGGAUGAAUUAAGAGAAGCUGUGUUGCUUGUUUUUGCGAACAAGCAAGAUCUUCCAAAUGCAAUGAAUGCGGCUGAAAUCACCGACAAGCUUGGCCUUCAUUCUCUCAGACAACGACACUGGUAUAUCCAGAGUACAUGUGCUACUUCUGGAGAAGGGCUAUAUGAGGGACUGGAUUGGCUUUCAAACAACAUCGCCAGCAAGGCCUAAUGCAAUGAUGUGGUACUAUGCUUCUUGUGUUGCUAUAUCCGGAGAAAUAAACAUCAUUGUCUCGAGAUUUUAAAUAUCUGUUCAGCUCACAAUUCUGGGGAAGGUCUUACCCUUCUUCACUCUCUAUGGUUUAUCGUCAAAGACCAUGACAUAGUUUCCGCAUUGCUGGAUGCACAUUGGCAAUGUAAUGAUAUUUUAGUAUAUAUCUGGUUUUGAAACUUGGCGCAGCCGUGUGCACCAUUUUGUUGUC